rnacentral:rRNA from 1 species
UACGGGGGAGCAAGCGUUGUUCGGAUUUACUGGGCGUAAAGGGCGCGUAGGCGGCCACCGCAAGUCGAUUGUGAAAUCUCCGGGCUUAACCCGGAAAGGUCAGCCGAUACUGCGGGGCUAGAGUGCAGAAGGGGCAACUGGAAUUCUCGGUGUAGCGGUGAAAUGCGUAGAUAUCGAGAGGAACACCUGCGGCGAAGGCGGGUUGCUGGGCUGACACUGACGCUGAGUGCGAAAGCUAGGGGAGCGAACGGG